rnacentral:rRNA from 1 species
CUACGGGCCGCUGCAGUGAGGAAUUUUGCGCAAUGGGGGGAACCCUGACGCAGCAACGCCGCGUGAGUGAUGAAGGCUUUCGGGUCGUAAAGCUCUGUCAAGUGGGAAGAACCUAUGCAGUGUUAAUAUCACUGUAUACUGACGGUACCACUGAAGGAAGCACCGGCUAACUCCGUGCCAGCAGCCGCGGUAAUACGGGGGGUGCAAGCGUUAUUCGGAAUCAUUGGGCGUAAAGGGCACGUAGGCGGCUUGGUAAGUCAGAUGUGAAAGCCCGGGGCUUAACCCCGGAAGUGCAUUUGAUACUGUCAGGCUUGAGUAUGGGAGAGGGAAGUGGAAUUCCUGGUGUAGAGGUGAAAUUCGUAGAUAUCAGGAGGAACACCGGUGGCGAAGGCGACUUCCUGGACCAAUACUGACGCUGAGGUGCGAAGGCGUGGGUAGCAAACAGGAUUAGAUACCCUAGUAGUC